ACCAGUGUGGCUGAGUGGUUUGAGCAUUGGACUACGACUCUGGAGACCAGGGUUCAACUCCCCACUCAGUCA